AUUGAACGCUGGCGGCAUGCCUUACACAUGCAAGUCGAACGGCAGCACGGGCUUCGGCCUGGUGGCGAGUGGCGAACGGGUGAGUAAUACAUCGGAACGUGCCCUGUCGUGGGGGAUAACUAGUCGAAAGAUUAGCUAAUACCGCAUACGACCUGAGGGUGAAAGCGGGGGACCGUAAGGCCUCGCGCGAUAGGAGCGGCCGAUGUCUGAUUAGCUAGUUGGUGGGGUAAGAGCCCACCAAGGCGACGAUCAGUAGCUGGUCUGAGAGGACGAUCAGCCACACUGGGACUGAGACACGGCCCAGACUCCUACGGGAGGCAGCAGUGGGGAAUCUUGGACAAUGGGGGCAACCCUGAUCCAGCAAUGCCGCGUGUGUGAAGAAGGUCUUCGGGUUGUAAAGCACUUUUGUCCGGAAAGAAAUCGCGCUGGUUAAUACCUGGCGUGGAUGACGGUACCGGAAGAAUAAGCACCGGCUAACUACGUGCCAGCCGCCGCCGUAAUAC
rnacentral:rRNA from 1 species